CCAGAGUUCGCCUGCCAUUGUGUUUCUAUAAACAGUGGUAUCUCUGCAGCUUCAACAUUUAUGUGAAGAUCCAGCUAUCUUGUAUCAUGUCUAGGAUUGCUUUCAUGAUGCUUCUUAUCGUCCCUGGCUUAGCACUGAAGACUCUGGACUUAAAUAUGGAAGAGAAUGAGAAUAACUCCUCGGUAAUCUCGAAUGACACAGAACAAGAAGGAAGAACUUUCGAAGAUCUUUCAGGUGGUUCUACUUCAAAAAUGUUGGUGUCACCCGCUUCAGUGACAGAAGGUUCUAGAGAUGAAGAGUUAAGAGCCCGCCUAGUUAACGGGACAGCAAAUGCGGGGCGUCUAGAAAUAUUUUACAGAGGGGAAUGGAGCACAGUGUGCAAAGAUCGCUUUGGAAACAAAGCAGCCAGUGUGGCCUGCAGGAUGCUGGGCUUCUACAGCCGUGGAUCAAUAGCUGUUGCCACAAGUGUAUACGGAGCAGGAACAGGAAGAAUUCUCUUCGAUGAUGUCACGUGUCAAGGAACAGAGAGAAGUCUCGCGCAGUGCAGUCACAAGACCUUCUACUCCCACGACUGUAGUCACAACGAAGAUGUCGGUGUUAUCUGCAAUGAGGGUAAACAGUUAGUGGCCCGUUUAGUUAAUGGAACAGCAGUUUCGGGGCGUCUAGAAAUAUUCAGCAACGGAGAAUGGAGCACAGUCUGCGACGAUGGAUUUGGAAACAAAGAGGCCAUGGUGGCCUGCAGGAUGCUAGGCUUUAACGGCUUUGGUGCAAGAGUUGCUGCAGCAGGUAGAUACGGAGCAGGAGCUGGAAGAAUUCUGCUCGAUGAAGUCAAGUGUCAAGGGUCAGAGAGCAGUCUUGCGGAAUGCAAUCACACGAAGUUCUACUCCGGCGACUGCAGUCAUAACGAAGAUGUCGGUCUUUUCUGCAAGGAGGUUAUCUCCCUGUCGUCGUGCAACACCUCAAGGAAAUACCUGGAGGUAAAGGAAGGCAGAAGUGACAACGAGUUUACAUGUACGGGACUAACAGCUCAAGAAGAUGUCCGCUGGUUUUUUCAGAACAAUAUAAGUUUUUGUUCACCAUCACCGUCUUUACGCUCCAUUAAAUGUUUGACACGAUUAACAGAAAACAGGACUUCAGACACAGUCAGUUUCGCUACGAUUGAUGCUAGAGAAAAUUCCGACCCCAACUACAUAGGAACAGGCACCUUGACAUGCCAAACCGCUACUGCCACCAUAUCAUGUCCGAUGGACUCAGUCUAUCCUGCUGAAAAUUCAAGUUGCCAAGUUCAGUUUGAAGACAACAAAGUAACCGCCUGGUGCUCUGUUUCAAAGGUCCGGUCGGCAAGAAACAAUUAUGUCUGCUCCCUGUACCAAGCUCUGGAGGCUUCCCAAGCGACAUUAGUCGGGUCCUAUACUAUGGACGUGGUGCCAGCAUCCUCUGGAUAUUUCUCAGGCAUGUGUAACAUGACCUCCUACCUGCCUCCCGAGGGACGAUACAGUUACUAUGUUAUUAUUAUGCCAGGAGAAGUAAACGUGUCCGCCACAUUCAUUGGAAGCAGUAUCAUCAGUAGACCUAUUGGUACACUAUACCACAACUGCCCAUUGUAUUUAAAUGAAGGGGACACCUUAAACUGCUCGUGUUUUGUCAACGACCUCGGAAAUCCUCCCGGUGUUCUUCGAUGGAACGGGACAGUCUCCGCUAAGCUGGAAUUUAAAAACCUCACAAAAUUGCAAAAUGGAAUUCAGAGUGUGUGUAGUCUGACCUGGAACAACACAGUCUACCAGUCUGUGUCUUACACUCUACUCGUGGAUUCAAUUAGUACGGUAACAGCCCGACUAGCUAACGGGGACGGAAUGGCGGGGCGUCUGGAAAUAUUCUACAAGGGAGAGUGGAGCACAGUUUGUGGCGAUGGCUUUAGAGACAAAGAAGCCAGGGUGGCCUGCAGGAUGCUAGGCUUUAACAGCUCUGGAGGAACAGCUGUUACAUCACGUUUGUACGGAGCUGGAGCAGGAAUAAUUCUCCUCGAUGAUGUAAAUUGUCUAGGAACAGAGAGCAGUCUAGUGGAGUGCGACCACAGCGGCUUCUACUCCCACAACUGCAUGCAUUCCGAAGAUGUCGGUGUUAUCUGCAAUGAAGAUAUUCAGCUCACAGCCCGACUGGUUGACGGGGACGGAAAUGGGGGGCGUCUGGAACUAUUCCACAACGGAGAAUGGAACUCAGUUUGCGGCGAUGGCUUUGGAAUCCAAGAGGCGAGGGUGGCCUGCAGGAUGCUGGGCUUCAACAGCUCUGCAUUAGUAGCUGCUACAACAGAUGAAUACGGAUCUGGAGUAGGAAGAAUUAUUCUGGAUGGUGUGAGGUGUACAGGGACAGAGAAGAGCCUGUUGGAGUGCAAUCACAAGCCGCUCUACCAACCCGAGUGUGAAGACUUCCAAGCCGGAGUCAUCUGCAAAGAAACCUCUACAGUGUCAAAACCAGCUUCUGCUACUACUACUGCUAGACCAAGAAGGGGUAAGCACCAAAAGAACAACCACACCAAAACAGGACUCAUCCUCGGAAACCACAACAUCAACGACAACAACUACAACGGAAAAGGUAACAAAAACGACCAAAACCACGACAUCUAGAAACGGAAACGCAACAACAGUAACAACGUCAACAACAACAACGUCUACUACCACCACUGUCACCAUACAAGCCUAGGCUGACUUUGCAAGACUACAGUUUACAAUUUUAAUAACCUUUCAAUUAUCGCUUUUCAUUAUAUCACUUUUUUGGAAUUUCUGUAAAGAAAACUGAUGUGUAAAAAACAUUUUAAGCUGUACCACUAUAUUUAUAUUUCAUUUUUUUUUCUAAAAUUUUGUACAUUUUUGCAAUUGUUGUAAGUGCACAUAAUAUUUUAUUUGUGCAAACUCUUUAUAAAGCAAGUAGUCCGUGUUAGCAGUUCAUCUGUUGAGACCGACUUCAACUUAGUAAACUACUUUUUGAAGACUGUAAAACUUUAUCUCCCUCAUGUCAUAGAUUUUUCUUUCAUGCAAAGAUAUCUUAGAUAUCUACUUAAUAAAGCCAUAGUCUACAUGUUAUUACAAAUAAUAUACGAGCACAUGCUAGAGUGUAAUGUUCUUUCAUAUAGCCAGCUAAGAGGAAGGGGUGUACUCCGUUUUCCUUCUUGUUGUCCGAAGAUUUUAUUUGUGUUUCUAUCUGCCUAUGUCUUAGACUCAUUUUUAUGCGUUUACCAGGUCUUUUCAGUCUUUAUAGACUAACGGUCAUGUCUGCCUUCGGGUUUGUCUGUUUACACGUUUUUUUCCAGAAUCUCUGGUUGCCUACCCUGCUUAUAGCUCUGUUCGGUGGAAACACUUUCUUACAUAACCCUGACUGCAGUCAGAACCUGGCGGUACUGUACUCUCCCCAGACAAAUCUUUUGAUUAGUAAAUAUCUGAAUCGUUCUUUAAAGAAGUUGAACAUACAAACUCGGAUUUCUGACACUGUAUAACACAAUAGAGUUCUGACAGGGAAACAGUAUCGAAAAAGCCUUUGAAUUUCGUAAUUUUUUCUGCAGUAAUCGGUACGAAUCGCUAUAGGGUACCCCAAUUAAAGGGAUUCUAAAGUCAAAAUAAAACUGCUUAGAAUCGCUUAAAGAGUAGGAUAAAUUUGAAUCUCGUCUGUUUAUAUGUGUGUUCAUGUGGAAAAUGUUGAAGG